rnacentral:rRNA from 1 species
GAUUAACGCUAGCGGCAGGCCUAAUACAUGCAAGUCGAACGGGAUUCAAAGUAGCAAUAUUUUGAUGAGAGUGGCGCACGGGUGAGUAACACGUAUGCAAUUUACCUUUAACUGGGGGAUAGCCCUCCGAAAGGAGGAUUAAUACCGCAUAAUAUAUUGAAAUGGCAUCAUUUUAAUAUUAAACCUACGGGGGUUAAAGAUGAGCAUGCAUCCGAUUAGCUAGUUGGUGUGGUAACGGCUCACCAAGGCAACGAUCGGUAGGGGGUCUGAGAGGAUGAUCCCCCACACUGGUACUGAGACACGGACCAGACUCCUACGGGAGGCAGCAGUAAGGAAUAUUGGACAAUGGAGGCAACUCUGAUCCAGCCAUGCCGCGUGAAGGAUUAAGGCCCUAUGGGUUGUAAACUUCUUUUAGACGGGACAAAACCCCUUUACGUGUAAAGGGUUGAUGGUACUGUCAGAAUAAGCAUCGGCUAACUUCGUGCCAGCAGCCGCGGUAAA